ensembl:lncRNA
CUUCUGUUGCACUUAUAAAGUAUAUAACGAUCAACUUUUCCACAAGCUCUGUAUCGUUCUGAAGAUACUUUGGGAGAAAGCAGGGGAGCUACUGCCAUCUGACAGAGAUUACUUAAUCUUCACACCUGAAUGACUGCAUCUCCUGCAGCCUUAUUGAAAGCCAUUGGAUCUACUGGACACAUAUUGAUGUUGGUGAGGAGUUGCAUACAUAUAACUAGUCCUACCGGACAGAGAAGAAUGUAGACAAACCCAUAAAGUCUGGACAAUUCUCUGAGGAACAGAGGAGCUGCCUUCCUGAACAGACCUGUGCUGCUCUCCAGACUGAAAUCUGGCUCCUGAGUGACCUCCACCAGAUGCUCCAGAAGAAGGCGAAAAAAUGUCCUGAAAACCCCAAGGAAGGCAUUAAGGAGACAGUUUGCCAAUAAUGGAGAUUUUUUCAUAAUUGUCUUUAGUCAGUUACUGUCUUACACUCAGUGCAGGAAAGCUUUAAGUGC